rnacentral:misc_RNA from 1 species
GGAAGCGGUGGCGCUGAAGUAGAGUGGCACAGCUCCCAAAUUCAUCACCUCGUGGUGGUUGUCUUUUAGAUGAUGAUGAAGUUGAAAAUGCAGUCAGUGACUGUGACCUCCUAUGAGGUGAAGAUAUAUUAACUUCAAGAACCAUAGCUUAUUCACUGAAUCUUUUGCAACUCGACACAAUUUCUGCACGAUGAAAUGAAAGCGGAAGUCCGUUACCUUCAACCGAUGGAUGGCGGAGAUAUUGGCGUCGAACAUAGGUCCUUUUCCGAGCAAAAACAUAAUCAAUGUGUAUGCGAGAAUGGAGAGCUCCUCCUUUUCCUUGUUCAAUGGUGAGGAGAGAUCCCCGCAACGACACCACAGUCGCACACUUGCGAGACCAAAGUCAUGUUAGCUUAAUG